rnacentral:rRNA from 1 species
AGGUGCCCGUACCGCAAACCGACACAGGUAGGUAGGAAGAAGAUUCUAAGGCCAACGGGAGAAGGGUUGUUAAGGAACUCGGCAAAUUGACCCCGUAACUUCGGGAGAAGGGGUGCUCCAGAGAUGGAGCCGCAGAGAAUCGGCCCAAGCAACUGUUUACCAAAAACACAGGUUUGUGCUAAAUCGAAAGAUGACGUAUACGAGCUGACGCCUGCCCGGUGCUGGAAGGUUAAGAGGAGAUGUGCAAGCAUUGAAUCGAAGCCCCAGUGAACGGCGGCCGUAACUAUAACGGUCCUAAGGUAGCGAAAUUCCUUGUCAGGUAAGUUCUGACCCGCAUGAAAGGCGUAAUGAUUUGGGCACUGUCUCAACAGCCCGCCCGGCGAAAUUGUAGUACCGGUGAAGAUGCCGGUUACCCGCGACAAGACGGAAAGACCCCAUGGAGCUUUACUGUAGCCUAAUAUUGGGUUUCGAUGUUGCAUGCACAGGAUAGAUGGGACUCUGGGAAACCAAGGCUUUGGCUUUGGCGGAGAGGCCGUUGGGAUACCAUCCUUGCGAUAUUGGAAUUCUAACCUGCGGCUCUGAAUCGAGUCGGGGGACAUUGUUAGGUGGGCAGUUUGACUGGGGCGGUCGCCUCCUAAAGAGUAACGGAGGCGUUCAAAGGUUCGCUCAGCUUGAACGGAAAUCAAGCAAAAGAGUGCAAACGCAGAAGCGAGCCUAACUGCGAGACUGACGGGUCGAGCAGUAACGAAAGUUGGAGUUAGUGAUCCGGUGGUAUGUGAGUGGAAAUGCCAUCGCUCAACGGAUAAAAGUUACCCUGGGGAUAACAGGCUGAUCUCCCCCAAGAGUCCACAUCGACGGGGAGGUUUGGCACCUCGAUGUCGGCUCAUCGCAUCCUGGGGCUGUAUUCGGUCCCAAGGGUUUGGCUGUUCGCCAAUUAAAGCGGUACGCGAGCUGGGUUCAGAACGUCGUGAGACAGUUCGGUCCCUAUC